UGAACCCCUUAUUGGUGUUUCUUCAUUAU
rnacentral:piRNA from 1 species